UGGGGAAUUUUGGACAAUGGGCGAAAGCCUGAUCCAGCAAUGCCGCGUGUGUGAAGAAGGCCUUCGGGUUGUAAAGCACUUUUGUCCGGAAAGAAAUCCUUGGCUCUAAUACAGUCGGGGGAUGACGGUACCGGAAGAAUAAGCACCGGCUAACUACGUGCCAGCAGCCGCGGUAAUACGUAGGGUGCAAGCGUUAAUCGGAAUUACUGGGCGUAAAGCGUGCGCAGGCGGUUUGCUAAGACCGAUGUGAAAUCCCCGGGCUCAACCUGGGAACUGCAUUGGUGACUGGCAGGCUAGAGUAUGGCAGAGGGGGGUAGAAUUCCACGUGUAGCAGUGAAAUGCGUAGAGAUGUGGAGGAAUACCGAUGGCGAAGGCAGCCCCCUGGGCCAAUACUGACGCUCAUGCACGAAAGCGUGGGGAGCAAACAGGAUUAGAUACCCUGGUAGUCCACACCCUAAACGAUGUCAACUAGUUGUUGGGGAUUCAUUUCCUUAGUAACGUAGCUAACGCGUGAAGUUGACCGCCUGGGGAGUACGGUCGCAAGAUUAAAACUCAAAUGAAUUGACGGGGUCAUAGCUGUUU
rnacentral:rRNA from 1 species